AUGUCCGGCGUCUUUUACGCUACCUCAAAGGGACUCUUGAUCAUGGCCUCUCUAUCACUCCUUCCCCCAACCACUCUCACAGCGUACUCUGAUGUAGACUGGGCAGGAUGUCCGGACACUCGUCGAUCCACUUCGGGAUACUGCGUGUACUUGGGUGAUAACUUGAUUUCAUGGUCGUCCAAAUGGCACCUUACUGUUUCUAGGUCGUCGGCGGAGGCUGAAUACCGCUCGGUUGCCCAUACUAUCGCUGAAACAGUGUGGCUUCGUCAGCUUCUACACGAGCUUCACCGCCCUCUUCAUCAUGCAACAAUUGUCUACUGUGACAAUAUAUCUGCCGUGUACCUCUCAUGUAAUCCUGUGCAGCAUCGUAGAACUAAGCAUAUCGAGAUAGACAUCCACUUUGUACGAGAGAAAGUAGCGUUAGGUGAUGUUCGUGUUUUGCACGUUCCUACCAGCGCUCAAUUUGCUGACAUCUUCAACAAAGGCCUGCCGGCGGCACCCUUCAUUGACAUUCAUGCCAGUCUCAACGUCGUCGAGCCCGCCGUUGACACUGAGGGGGGGUGUUAG
rnacentral:rRNA from 1 species